rnacentral:pre_miRNA from 1 species
AUAAAGUUCCUUUGGGUAAGAAGUACUACUUGUCAUCAAAAUGGAUUAAAGGAGAUGUAUCUAGACGUAUUCUAGUUCUAGAUACGUCCCUUUUUAUCCAUUUUGAUGACAAGUAUUUUCGUACGUAGGGAGCUUAUA